rnacentral:tRNA from 2 species
GGAGAACUGGCCGAGUGGCUGAAGGCGCACGCCUGGAAAGUGUGUAUAGGUUAAUAGCCUAUCGAGGGUUCGAAUCCCUCGUUCUCCGCCA